UCCGGUGUAGACGAUCUGUGUGUGUGUGUGUGUGUAGUACGUACACUGGCUGCUCGGCUCUGACCGGAGCAGCUACCGGGCGACUCUCUCGUGUCUUCACCGCGGACCGCUGCGUCUCUCACGGUCGAGUCCGGUUCGUCCUCGGGGAAUCUCACUCCUCCAGCGUCCCGUUGUUUGUGGUCGCGACACCGGCAGCUGCUAAGCUCAGAGGCUCGCAGGCUAACGGAGCGGCGGCAGAGAGGAGCCAGCAGGUCGGACCGAGGCGCAGGGGACGUUAGCAAACAAGCUAAUUAGCCAGAAGGACCGAGCCUGGAUUAUUGUCCUUAAUCAAAGAGGAACCGAGCGAGUCCGCGGAGAAACUCACUGCGGCAGCAACAUGAAGAUCACGGUGGAAUUCGAGGAGUGUUUGAAGGACUCCCCGCGGUUCAGAGCCACCAUAGAGGAAGUAGAGGGGGAUGUGUGUGAGUUGGAAUCCAAGCUGGACAAAUUGGUGAAGUUGUGUAUUGGGAUGAUCGAUGCUGGAAAAGCCUACAACGCAGCCAACAAGCAGUUUGUUAAUGGGAUCCGAGAAUUAGCCCAGUCGUCCACCAGAGAUGAGGUUAUCGAGUCCAGUCUCACAAAGUUUGCCGAGAGCCUGCAGGAGAUGAUCAACUAUCACACGAUAUUAUUUGAUCAAGCCCAGAGAUCAAUCAAGACCCAGCUUCAAACUUUUGUCAAAGAUGACCUGCGUAAGUUUAAAGAAGCCAAGAAGCAGUUUGAUAAAGUUAGCGAGGAAAAGGAGGCAGCGCUGAUAAAGAAUGCCCAGGCGCCCCGCAACAAGCAGCAUGAGGUGGAGGAGGCUACCAACAUCCUCACUGCCACACGCAAGUGCUUCCGACACAUCGUGCUCGACUACGUCUUACAGAUCAAUGUGCUGCAAUCCAAGAGAAGAUCAGAAAUCCUGAAAUCAAUGCUGUCCUUCAUGUACGCCCACUUGACCUUCUUUCACCAAGGAUAUGACCUCUUCAGUGAACUACAACCUCUUAUGAAACACCUUGGAGGACAGUUGGACCAGCUGGUGGUGGAUGCUGCCAAAGAGAAGAGAGACAUGGAGCAGAAACACUCCACCAUCCAGCAAAAGGCUGCUCUGCAGGAGGUGACAGAGCUCGAGUCUUUACCAGACUACCGCAACUUUUGUGCUUGGACCUCCGAUUUCUCGAACGAUGACACCAAGCUGGAAUACAAUGUGGACGCAGACAACGGCAUCGCCAUGGAGGGUUAUCUUUUUAAGAGGGCCAGCAACGCCUUCAAGACAUGGAAUAGGCGUUGGUUCUCCAUCCAAAACAAUCAGCUAGUUUACCAGAAGAAAUUUAAGGACAACCCAACUGUCGUGGUAGAGGACCUCCGGCUAUGUACUGUCAAACACUGUGAAGACAUAGAGCGUCGCUUCUGUUUCGAAGUGGUGUCACCCACCAAGAGCUGUAUGAUGCAGGCAGACUCAGAGAAGCUGCGACAGGCCUGGAUCAAAGCUGUCCAGAACAGCAUCGCCACCGCCUUCCGCGACAAGGGAGAGGAAGGCGAGAAGCUGGACAGGAAAUCAUCCACAUCGACAGGGAGUCUUGACUCUGGUGGGGAGCCAAAGGAGCGGCCGCUGAAAGGAGAGAGUGCCCUGCAGAAGGUCCUGGCCAUCCCGGGCAACACCUGCUGCUGUGACUGUGGCCAGCCAGACCCUCGCUGGGCCAGCAUCAAUCUGGGCAUCACCCUCUGCAUACAGUGCUCUGGUAUUCACAGGAGUCUUGGAGUUCAUUUCUCUAAAGUCCGGUCUCUUACUUUGGACUCGUGGGAACCUGAACUUCUUAAGUUGAUGUGUGAAUUGGGAAACGGAGUGAUUAACCAGAUCUAUGAAGCUCGGCGAGAGGAGCUAGGAGCCAGAAAACCACAGCCAGGAGACCCGAGACACGAGGUUGAGGCCUACAUCAAAGCCAAAUACGUGGACCGUCGGUUUGUGCGCCGCCCGUCGGACGAGGAGCUUCGCAACAAAGUGGUCUCUCUGAGCAAACAGGAGAAGAGGCUGAGCAGCAGCUCCGAGCACCUGCCCCCCCGGCCACCUCCACCUACCCCCAAACUCCGACCUGCUUCAAACACCUCUGGACAAACAGCUGCUGCCAGCGGCUCGGAGGCCCGCCGCGACUCUCUCUUCUGUCCUGACGAGCUUGACUCGCUCUUCUCCUACUUUGACAACUCCGCCAAGCUCAGGAGCAUAAAAAGUGCAGACAGCGGCAUCCAAAACAGUGCAGAUGGAAGCAGGGAAAUGCUGGCCAACACCCCGUCCAAUAACAGCCUGACAGAUGCAGAUGCUGCUGAGUCUCCGCCCAUGGCCAUGCCUGCCAAGCUGCCUCCUCCGUCACCCUGUAAAGAGAUGGUGUUCUAUGAACCCAAGGAGUACAGCCAAGGUCUGCAGCUGUACUGGGCUUCAUGUGCCCGCAGUCUGCCGGACAUGGCGGAAGCACUGGCCCACGGAGCCGAAGUAAACUGGGUCAAUACUGAAGAAGACAAGAGGACGCCGCUUAUCAUGGCGGUGCAGGGGGGGUCACUGGUCACCUGUGAGUUUUUGCUUCAAAAUGCAGCGAGUGUUAACCAGCAGGACGCUCAGGGCCGGGCUCCCCUGCACCACGCCACCAUGCUGGGACACACAGGACAAGUGUGUUUGUUCCUAAAAAGAGGAGCGAAUCAAAAUGCUGCAGACAUUGACGAGAAAACACCACUGACCAUAGCGGUGGAUGCGGCCAACGCAGACAUUGUUACACUGCUGCGACUGGCGAAGAUGAACGAGGAGAUGCGAGAGGCGGAGGGGCCCUACAGCCAGUCAGGUCAAUAUAACACCAACAGCCCCACCGAAAUGCAGUACAGGAAGUGCAUGCAGGAGUUUAUUAGCCUGCAGCUGGACGAAACUUAAUAACUGUCCGCUCUCUUCCAAACAAAGGAGCAGAACACACUGUAAAAGCAGAGGACAUGUGAAGUCUGGGUUUCAGAGUUGGAGUCAGUUCACUUAAAACAGCAGAUUAACAAGAAGAAGAUGGUUUAGAUACUCAGACAAUUCAUUCUCAGUGGAGGCAGCGUUUUUAUUAGGAGACCUCCAGGUUUGUUGAAAUUUGACCCCCUGACUGUGAUGAUGGAUCAAAGUGAACUGAAUCUAACUCAGUGUGUCUCAGUCGCUGCAGCCUCUGUUUUAACUUCCCAGCUCUCGCCGGGUGCUGGACAAACUGCACCUUGGUGGGGUUCAGUGUCGGUCCUCGACUGUGUUUAUGUGACAGAGUUAAAGCCAUCGACUCUGGACAUGACUGUAGAGUUUUGUUCCAAAGUGGAACAUCCUCCUUUUCAGUUAAGUGACCGUUACUGUCACGUAGAAUUAUUUGAUAGCACAAAAUUAAAGCAAACAGCGUCACUUUUUUUCUAGACAGUUUGUACUUUUCUCCCUUUAAGUCUAAAGCUGCUUUCAGACAUGCACUGGAUUUUAUUCCUGAUAUUGUCCAGAGGGGCCGUAGAGAAAAUGUCUGAGUCAGUUGCUCAGGAAUUUUUCUGGAACUUUUCCUGCCUGGCACUAGGGGGCGAAAAUUUGCUUUAAAUGUUUGAGUAUAUCCAUAUCAGGAUGAAAAAGAGGUGUCAUACGUGUAGAAGACGCAGAAGAAGAUGUCAACUUGGAAAGACAAUGAGAUUCGAGAGCUUUUGGUGAUCAGGGCAGAUGUCGUCAUCAUAUCUUGCCUCCUGCUCUACACAGCCUGAAUCUUCCAGAGGUUGUUGUGAAUGCGUCUGGCCUGCGCUGCUGUGUUCAUGUCUGAAAACAGCUUGAAUGACACUAGUUUUGUUGAUUUCCUCUGUUUUAGAGGUGUUCAGUAAUUUAUAGUAAAUAAUAAGACAUUUGUUUUUAGGGCUAAAAUACUUUUUAUCUUUUAAUUGGUGUUGUGUCUCUGCCACCAGUCACAGCAUCUUUACAAAAAAACUGAAUCUAGCUUCCCAGUAACUACCAUCAGUAACCAGUGACACUCAGACCUCAAAGUGAAGGCAGGUUUUACUAUCUUGCAAUAAUUGUGACUUGUGAAUGACAAUUUUUAUCAUGUGACCAGUGUCAUAAAACGUAAUGUGUGUCUAUAAACCGGCAAGUUUCCUUUUUAACAUUUGAAGUGAUUUAUGCACAUUCCUAUCAAUAGUUGUAACUGCUGUACCUUUACCCAUGACUGUUUGUAAGGUCCCUGUUUGAAGUCUUAACCAUAUUCAAUGCCUGAUUACUUUGUCGUCCAAACAUGAUGCAUCUUGCUGUUGUGACACAGAAAAAGUCUAUUUUACAACAUUUUCUUUCAUAAAGAUAAAUAUAGGGGUUGUAUAUAUAUAUAUAUAUAUAUAAGUAUACAUUCUGUACAUGUUGUAAAUGAUGUGCAUACAUACAUUUGUAUCGCGGGACAAAAUAAGCAGAGUUGAGAGUGACUCACACAGGUUGCAUAGGGGUGAGUGCCAUGGGGGACACCUGCAUUCAUCCUUGAUUUCUCUUGUUUUGAUUGUGAUGUAUUUACCUCCUGUUAGGACGAUGUUGUGUAUUGGUUAUUAGUUGGGAAAUCCAGAAUUGUAAGACAAGAGGCCUUUUGUUGCCAUCGCAUUGAUCGUCUCGAAUGUUAGCGGAUUACAGACAAAUCAUCUGAGGAUGGUCCAGAGUGAAGCAACAAGUGCAAUAGUGUAGAAAGGUAUCCACAUGUAUCCCUGUAUAGUAUUGUCUUAUAUUUAUCUUACUCUUAGGUGAGCUUUACAAAAAAAGGAGAUAUUCACAAAGAAUGUGGCGAGAGAUGAGUUUGAAGCUCACUGAUAAUGUAUGAAAAAAAACAAUAUUCCGAACGUACCCCAGUUUCAUCUCACCUCUCCGCUCCAUGCAGCCACUGAUCCCUGAAGGGCAUCGAAGCACUUUGAUUAAAUGCUCAUUUCUGUUGUUUCACAUUGACAGAGCAGCGCCCCCUGCUGCUGAUAGAGCAAUAUUUCACGUCUUGAAUUCACUACUUAGAAUAGAGAUUACCGAUUGUGUUGUUGUUACUUUUACGGGCAAAGUUUUCUGUGAACUUUAGAGACGGAGCGGUUUAUACAACGUUUUUAGAUUGUUGGGGUAAUGGAAUAUUGUACAUGUGUGUGUGUGUUGACGACAUGAGAACAGGGACGUGCUCAGAACCGUCGUCUAUUUGUCCAAAAAUGAUAAAGCAUCUUAGAUUGAGGGCUCGUUGUGCUGCUGUAGGUAACCGGACUUUGAUUUAAGAGGGGAAGCUCCUCUUUUUAAAAAGAAGACAGGAAUGUUUUGGACCUACGACAAGAAACGCUUCUUUUGACUUAGUAUUUUAUUUUAGCAUGUGCAAUGGUUGUUGAUAGGGAACGACACAGAAAGUAUUGCUGGCUGUUGUUGCCUUAAAGGUCAACAGCAAACACAGGAGCAGUGAUGAUGAGGGGAACAGAGGGACGGUUGUCAGAAGAGGUCGAGUCUGAAGUAUGUGCUUCCAGUCAAUGAAGGAUCCUCCCGUCGCUUCGAGAGGAUUCAGCUUGUGCCAGCAUCAGCUCGCCGUCCUCUCCGAUACGCGCGGGCCACUUCACCAGGGCCUCCAAUCAGCUGAUGAGUGAUGGGGCUGAUGAGGGAUAUUCAGGGUUGAUGAAAGUGAAGGAACCUCAUCAAUCCUCCCUCUGCCCUUGUUUUUAUUUAAAGUACACUUCCCUCCGCUCAAGUGUUUCUACCUAGUUGAGUGUAGACGUGGUUCUCAGCCUGAACGUGGCUCAGUGCUUUAAACAAUAAUCUAUGAAAUCUUGUUGGGGAAUAUAUACAUAUAUAUUUUUGAAAUAGAAUUAUAAUUCUUCUUUGAUAGAUAUAUUUUUCUUUAAUUGAUAUUUGUCUCCUGUUGUCGUCUAAAAAUGGAUUUUAAAACGACCUAUGAGGGGGAAUCCAAACACAUGAACCCUCCAACAGGUUGAGAACUGCUCCACUCCUCUUUACCGCUCUCAUUCUCCUCUCUCUGUAAAUUCACUCUCUCUGUUCUGUAUUUAUCUUUUUGCUUUUCUCCCUCUCCUCCCCAGAGUUUGUGCCUUUGUUCUGUUCUUCUCUUUUCUUUGGGGUGCUGAGGCCAACACAACUGUAUUUUUUGUACAUUAACUCCUGCACUUUAAACACAAUACAGUUGCUGACAAAAACUCAUCUCCGUGGGCUUGUCUUUUCUUUCUGAGUCGAUCUCCAGUUGCAAAUCAAAAAGACUGUUUUCACAACCAUUUGCCUUUUUGCUUCCUUCGUUCUUUCCUUCUUUUCUCUGCCUCUAUGUUGAUCUGUUUCAUAUUUCGAGCCACGCCCCAAACUCUGACAGGUGACGAAACCUACCAGGACAUUUUCCAGGACUUCACCCAAAUGGCCUCCAACGACCCGGACAAGCUGAAGCGCUACCAGCAGUACGACCCGCAGUGACCCUGACGCUGCAGAACCUCCGUCCAGUAGCACUUCGAGGGACACUGUCACCGGCCUGGGAGAGAUGCAGCAUCUAAACCCCCGCCUCCACCUGGAAGGUCCCCUGCUCAUUAUUCCUCCCAUCAUUCAGAAACAUCUGCCUAAAAGCCGGUUAGUGCCACCACAGCUGGACACGUCAGCACGUCUCACAACUUCCCUGUUUUUAAACUGCUUCUCAGUAGAGGACCUAUUACAACAAGUAAUGGUACAGUGUUAAGGCCUUUGAAAGAAUUCGUACUAAUUAAAGACAUUUUUUUUAACUCGGUCUGAAUGUAGAGCGCCGACGAGGCUCAGUUUAAUCCCUUGUCACACUUCCUGUCACACUUCCUGACAAAAGACAACUUCUUUUUUUUAUACCUUUAAAAAAAGAAGUGUACAAAGAUGUACAGAUCAGAUGUACAAAGAGGUGAGAUCCUGACAGAUUGUUAAAUAGGAUUCUCCUUAUGAGUAUAGGCAUCUUUUUUUAUAUCAAACUUUCCUUUUAUGAACUCUCAGCUGCGUAUCCACGGCAACACGCUUCCACCUAUUUGCACAAAUCCCUUUGUCUUAAAACGCCACCGAUGUUUACCAGUUUGACAUGUUGUAAAAUGUACAGUGAUUAUAGAAGUAAACAUGUUAUUGAUUUAUUUUAAUGUUAAAUAGAAUUCUUUUUUUUUUAUGCUUUUUAUUUUUCAACAUUUCUUUCUGAAUGAUUUCAAUUUCUGUCUCGUCGUCAGAAGCUGUUUUAUGUUUAUCUGUAGAUUUUAAUGCAGACAUUUUAUUCCCAUUGAUUUUAGAAAGGCUGGUAAAACUUUAUUUUUUACAGUUUCAUAAUUUUAUAAUAAUUAUAGGAGAUGUAUGAUUUUUGUUGUAAGAACAAUUUCAUCUAAACUCAAAUAAAUGUAAGUAAGUGAAGUAGUGAUUUGAAAUUUUAUAAUUUAAACAAAAAUUUCUACAAAAGUUUCUACAAAAGUUGUAGAGAAAAAAACUCUAAACUUGAAGAAACUUUGAGUUUUUCCCUGAUAAAAUAAUCUGAAUAAAUUAAUCAUCAUUUCACACUGUCUAUUUAUUUAUGAAUACGAGCAAAUUCUUAUUAGGGAUUAUUAGGAAAUUAUGAACCUGUAAUCCACAAUAAAGAAACACCAAGAAAACUGUAUUUUAAAGCCACAUUGUGUGAUUUCAUGUGUUGAGCUGUUAAAACCAAAUUUACAUUUUAAGACUCAGUUCAGACGCCUCCUCCCAAAAUGUUUAAACUCAGAAAUGAAUUCUGUAAAUGUCAUAAUAGAUGCUCUGCUCUGUAAUUUAGGACUUUUAUUUUUUUCUUGGUCUGCCUCUUUUGAAACUGUACAAUCUUUAAACAUUGAUAGUUUAUAGCAGGAUGUGACGUCAGUUCCUGAGGAAAUCUUUGUCCAAUGAUGCAACAUGGGAUACAACUCUUGUACAUUUUGUACAGAUGCUUUUGAAUUCUGCAGAGAACUGAAGUAUAAAGUUAGAGGUACUUGAAUCAUUCAAAUAAGAUAUUGUAUAUGCUGUUCUUUGUAUCCUUCAGUCAUUUAGCCCAUUUUAUAUUGCCUGUCUGUAAACCAUUAUACAUGAACUGUGUAUUCUACCUGUAACAUGUAAGAACUUCAAUACAUAGACUGAGGAUUCACCAAUGAA